rnacentral:rRNA from 1 species
GACGAACGCUGGCGGCGUGCUUAACACAUGCAAGUCGAACGGAAAGGCCCUGCUUUUGUGGGGUGCUCGAGUGGCGAACGGGUGAGUAACACGUGAGUAACCUGCCCUUGACUUUGGGAUAACUUCAGGAAACUGGGGCUAAUACCGGAUAGGAGCUCCUGCUGCAUGGUGGGGGUUGGAAAGUUUCGGCGGUUGGGGAUGGACUCGCGGCUUAUCAGCUUGUUGGUGGGGUAGUGGCUUACCAAGGCUUUGACGGGUAGCCGGCCUGGGAGGGUGACCAGCCACAUUGGGACUGAGAUACGGCCCAGACUCCUACGGGAGGCAGCAGUGGGAAAUAUUGCACAAUGGGCGGAAGCCUGAUGCAGCAACGCCGCGUGCGGGAUGACGGCCUUCGGGUUGUAAACCGCUUUCGCCUGUGACGAAGCGUGAGUGACGGUAAUGGGUAAAGAAGCACCGGCUAACUACGUG